GACGAACGCUGGCGGCGUGCCUAAUACAUGCAAGUAGAACGCUGAAGGAGGAGCUUGCUUCUCUGGAUGAGUUGCGAACGGGUGAGUAACGCGUAGGUAACCUGCCUGGUAGCGGGGGAUAACUAUUGGAAACGAUAGCUAAUACCGCAUAAUAGCAGUUAUUGCAUGAUAACUGUUUGAAAGGUGCAAUUGCACCACUACCAGAUGGGCCUGCGUUGUAUUAGCUAGUUGGUGGGGUAACGGCUCACCAAGGCGACGAUACAUAGCCGACCUGAGAGGGGGGUCAGCCACACUGGGAGGGUGACCCGGCCCAGACGCCCACGGGAGGCAGCCGGAGUGAAUCGUCGGCCAUCGACGGAAGUCUGACCGCGCUACGCCGCGUGAGGGAAGAAGGUUGUCGGAUCGUAAAGCUCGGUUGUCAGGGAAGAACGAGUGUGAGAGUGGAAAGUUCACACUGUGACGGUAUCUGAUCAGAAAGGGACGGCUAACUACGUG
rnacentral:rRNA from 1 species